GGGGAUUUAGCUCAGUGUUACAGCUCCUGCCUGGCAAGCAUGAAGUCCUGAGUUCAAUCCCUGAUACUCCA
rnacentral:tRNA from 1 species